rnacentral:lncRNA from 8 species
CCACACUAUGCUAGCACUGAGGAAGUGGACGAGUGCCAUAGCAACCCUUGCUUUGAGCCCCAUACAAAGUGCAUCGACCAAGUCAACGGCUACUUCUGUCGAUAUCCGCCCAGCUACGGAGGAGAGGACUGCCAAGAGCAAGUGACUGACUGCAUUGACGAGCCGUGUCUGAACAAUGGGACUUGGAUUCGAGUGCCACUGUGCGCUGGGGUUUGAAGGCGAUCCUUGUGAAGAGGACGUGGACGAGUGUGCAUCGCACCCUUGCCAGAAUGGGGCUAUCUGCAUGGAUGGCUUGGCUCAGUUUCCAGCGCUACAACUGCGAGAUUGAUAUCAAUGAGUGUGCCUCAUGGCCCUGCGAGAAUAACGGAACCUGCAUCAAUAAGAAGGACCAAUACGAAUGCGAGUGCCUCGCAGGUUUCACAGCUAUGAGUGUGACUGCGAGGACACAGGCUUCAUGGGAGACCACUGUGAGGAGGACAUCCCUGAGUGUGCGUCUGACCCGUGUCAGCACGGCGCCACCUGCCAGGAGGGAGUCAAAGAGUACACCUACCUCUGCUGGCCUGGUUUGUGCAACUUACCACAUUUGAAAAAAUAUUGGGGUCAAAAAUGGUUAAAAAAAUAGAAAGAAAAAAAGAGUUCAUUUGAGUAUAAUAUGUACAGCUGUAAAUGUUGUCAGAUGAUUGGAGAGUAAAGGAGGGUGGUAUUAUAAUGGGUUUACAGCAACAACGACUGUGCAGUUUGUUUAGGCUUUGAGUGAACAGUAUUACAUUGUAUUUACAUUUUAUUGGGACUCCUAGGUUACAAAGUGUAACGGCUGUCGUAGAGCGGGGACCAAAGUGCAGCGUGUUGAUUGCUCAUAAUGAAUAUUUAUUUUAACUCAGAACAAUAAAGACAAAAUAACAAACCAACGGCCAACAGUUCUGUCAGGUAACAGAUAACUAAACAGAAAAUAACUACCCACACACACAAGUGGAAAAAAACCCUACUUAAGAAUGAUCUCCAAUAAGAGACAACGAGGACCAGCUGCCUCUAAUUGGAGAUCAUCCCAAAAAAAAAACAUAGAAAAUAAGAUCUUACUAUGGUCAGGACGUGACACAAAGGGGAGAACUGUGAGAUUGACAUUGAUGAGUGUGCUCUGCAGCAAUGCGAGAAUGACAGUGAGUGUUUCGAGAGUUCCGACAUAUCCCACUGGGAGAUGGACUGGGCGUUCAGCUUCGCUGAUGCUACCGAAUACCUGUUUCACAGGAGAGAACUGUUCUGUGUACAUUGAGUGUGUGUCUGAGCCCUGCCAGAAUGGAGGCUCUUGUGAGGACCAAGUGAAUGACUACACCUGUUUGUGUCCAGAAGGAUUUAUGGGUAAGGUCUUCAACAAACUCUCUAAACUCUGUAUUCUUCUGUAUGUCAUUACAGUAUCAUCGCUUUUUACUGUUUUUAUGUCUGGCAUCUUAAAACCUCUUACAUCUAGACGUUCCGCUAGCGGAACACCGCUCCAAUAUCCAAUGAUAGGGCGUGGCGCGAAAUACAAACUCCUCGAAAAUCCGAAAACUUCCAUUUUUCAAACAUAUGACAAUUUUACACCAUUUUAAAGACAAGACUCUCCUUUAUCUAACCACACUGUCCGAUUUAAAAAAGGCUUUACAACGAAAGCAAAACAUUAGAUUAUGUCAGGAGAGUACCCAGCCAGAAAUAAUCAGAUACCCAUUUUUCAAGCUAGCAUAUAAUGUCACAAAAACCAAAACCACAGCUAAAUGCAGCACUAACCUUUGAUGAUCUUCAUCAGAUGACACUCCUAGGACAUUAUGUUAUACAAUACAUGUAUGUUUUGUUCAAUCAAGUUCAUAUUUAUAUCAAAAACCAGCUUUUUACAUUAGCAUGUGACUAGCAUUCCCACCGAACACUUCCGGUGAAUUUACUAAAUUACUCACGAUAAACGUUCACAAAAAACAUAACAAUUAUUUUAAGAAUUAUAGAUACAGAACUCCUUUACGCAAUCGCGGUGUCCGAUUUUAAAAUAGCUUUUCGGUGAAAGCACAUUUUGCAAUAUUCUGAGUAGAUAGCCCGGCCAUCACAGGCUAGCUAUUUUGACACCCACCAAGUUUGGUACUCACCAAACUCAGAUUUACUAUAAGAAAAAUUGGAUUACCUUUGCUGUUCUUCGUCAGAAUGCACUCCCAGGACUUCUACUUCAAUAACAAAUGUUGGUUUGGUUUCAAAUAAUCCAUAGUUAUAUCCAAAUAGCGCCGUUUUGUUCGUGCGCUCAAGACACUAUCCGAAGGGUAACGAAGGGUGACGCGCCGACGCAUUUCGUGACAAAAAAUUUCAAAAUAUUCCAUUACCGUACUUCGAAGCAUGACAAAUGCUGUUUAAAAUCAAUUUUUAUGCGAUUUUUCUCGUAAAAUAGCGAUAAUAUUCCGACCGGGAGUCGUUGUUUUCGUUCAAAGACUGAAAAUGUAAAAUGGCGCGCACCCGGCUCAUUGUUCUCAGAUCGACCACUAUCCAAAUGCGCUACUGUUUUUCAGCCAGAGACUGCAGAGUCAUCAUUCAACGUUCUGGCGCCUUCUGAGAGCCUAUGGGAGCCUUAGAAAGUGUCACGUUACAGCAGAGAUCCUCUGUUUUGGAUAGAGAUGACAAAGAAGGCCAAGAAAUGGUCAGACAGGGUACUUCCUGUACAGAAUCUUCUCAGGUUUUGGCCUGCCAUUUGAGUUCUGUUAUACUCACAGACACCAUUCAAACAGUUUUAGAAACGUUGGAGUGUUUUCUAUCCAGAGCUACUAAUUACAUGCAUAUUCUAGUUUCUGGGCAGGAGUAAUAACCAGAUUAAAUCGGGUACGUUUUUUAUCCGGCCGUGAAAAUACUGCCCCCUAUCCAUAACAAGUUAAAUCAGACCCACAGUCUGAUUUGUAGAUUCCAUUCUAGGUAGAUCAAUCUUCAAAAGUCUAAAAUAGUGCAUUGCAUUUGCAGGGGAAAUUUGCGAAAUCAACAUUGAUGAGUGCUAGAGCCAGCCGUGUUUGAACGAUGCCUGGUGCGAGCUAUAUCUGUCACUGCCCCGAGGCUGAGCAGCCCUGGGGUGGCCACCACUGCAACAUCCAGCUCCUGGGCUGUGUGGAAUAUGAGUGCCAGAACAGGGCCACCUGCCUUCUUAGAGGAUGCUAAGCUGGAGGUGGCCUUCUCUGGGCUGGUCAGCAACGGGGACUGGCGUGACGCUGAAGUGUAUGUAAACAAAAAGGAAGGUCUGGUUCUGAACCUGAAAAGUCCGGGAUGUGACAGUGAAGGGUGCACGGUGGAAGAUGGUGGUUCCGAUGGGCCACACUUCACUCCCUCAGAGGCGUUUGGUCACAUCUACAUGGGGGGUGCCCCUGAAGAGUUGCUGGAGCACACAGCGAGCGGCCACGGGUUUGCCAGGUUUAUGGAGGACCUGCUGAUCGACUUCAAGGCCAGAGGAGCAGGCUCACGAGAAGGAGCUGGGCUGUAGCAAGACAGAGUGCUGAGAACCUGACCCCUGCACAAGUCAAGGCCACUGUGUGGACCUUAUGGAUUAGCCACCGCUGCGACUGCUACUGGCCCUACCACAGUCACAGCUUCUCCAAUGGUAAGCAACAUUUACCUUCCACCAAAAGUAAAUGUAUUCUGAGGAAGACUUCAUUCAUUUAGAAACGUCCAUCCAGACGUUUUCAAAUCAAAUCAUAUCAAACUUUUUUUGUCACAUGCGCCAAAAACGACAAGUGUAGACCUUACUUACAAGCCCUUAACCAACAGAGCAGUUCA